rnacentral:rRNA from 1 species
AUGAUUGUACUUGAGAAGAAGCCACAGUGGAGGCUAUGGAUUUGGUUGGUCUUGGGUCAGGAGCAGGGUCUUUGGAAGGCAGAGCAGAUGGCUGCUUGCGCCCCCAUCAGAGUUGGUCUUCUGCAUGGGCGCCUUGAUCUGACCAGCCGCACCGGCGCUGCUGCUACCACCCCGGCGGUCCGACAUCUUCACUCUCGCUUCACUACCUCAGCAAAAGACAGGGAGCCUAGACCGAGACCUUCGCGUGACAACUUAACAGUUUUCGGGGAUGGAUCAAAGGUCCGACGAACAGCAGGAUGA